GCCAGGUUUGGUGGCACGUGCUUAAAAUCCCAUCUACUAGGGAGGCUGAGGGAGGCUGGUGGAUUGCUUGCGUUUGGGAGUUCUGAGCUGCAGUGCAGUAAGCUAAUCAGUUGUCUGUACUAAAUUUGGCACAUAUGGUGAAUCCUUGAGAGCAGGAGUCCCAGAGGCUACCUGAAGAGGGGUGGGAAUUAGUCCAGGUCAGAAAUGGAACAGAUCAAAGUUUCCAUGCUGAUCAUCAGUGAGAUCAGGCCCGUGAGUGGCUGCUUAACUUUCAGCCUAGAUGAGAUAGGGAGACCUAGUCUCCA
rnacentral:SRP_RNA from 1 species